UACGUAGGAGGCAAGCGUUGUCCGGAAUUACUGGGCGUAAAGCGCGUGUAGGUGGUGGGACAAGUCUGCUGUGAAAACCUAAGGCUCAACCUUGGGCUUGCAGUGGGUACGGGCAGACUAGAGUGCGGUAGGGGUGACUGGAAUUCCUGGUGUAGCGGUGGAAUGCGCAGAUAUCAGGAGGAACACCGGUGGCGAAGGCGGGGUCUCUGGGCCGUAACUGACGCUGGAGGAGCGAAAGCGUGGGGAGCGAACAGG
rnacentral:rRNA from 1 species